rnacentral:rRNA from 1 species
AUGUGGUACGAACUUAAGGAAAUUUGCAGCAAUGUGGUUUUGAAUGACCAGCAGGACAGCUAUACCUGGCUGCUAACUAAAUCUGGAAGAUUCUCGGUUAGAUCCUUGUAUUGAGCUCUUCAGACAGAUCAGGCAGCUUGGCCUCAUAGGAAACUGUGGCAAGUUAAGAUUCCCUUGAAAGUUAAAGUUUUCUUGUGGUUAAUGUUUAGAAACAGUAUAUUCACUAGAGUCAAUUUAACAAAAAGGAACUGGAGGGGUAAUGAGAGAAACUGUAGGUUUUGUGAUUUUCUUGAAACAGUUGAAUAUCUUUUCUGUACAUGUGUGGUUGCUAGGUUCAUAUGGGGGGUAAUAAGAAGUAUCACUGCCAGACAUGAUAUUCCUCGCGAGAUUGAAGAGUUUAGCAUUUGGAUUGAGAGGCUCCCUAAAAAGAUUAGACAGGUAGUGGCAAUGGGUGUUGCGGCAGUGUUUUGGACUUUGUGGAAAGCCAGAAACGCUGCUACUUUUCAUCAUGUUUACUCACAUAAUCCUAGUGUUUUGUUUUUCCAAAUUUCUUACUGGACAUCAUAUUGGGCCGGUUUACAGGAAAAAGAAGGGCAAUGGAUGCUGCGAGCCGUAGCAACCAUGCUGUUUGAAGUAGCAAAUGUUUUCUUUAACAAGAACAAAGGUUGGGCGCCCAUGGUCAGAUGCUCAGGAGUGGGUUGA